CCAAGUAUAUAAUGUCAGUUGAUUGGUGCUGUCAAAGUCCAUCUAAUCCUGUUUAGAAAUAUUGUCAUAACUCAUGCAGAUAUAGAAACGCUUAUGUCUGUAAUUUUUUUCUUAUCUAUGUGCUGUCUGAAACGGCAGAUAAAUAAUGAGCUUAGAACUGCAUUCUCACAUAAAAAUAAUUUUAAGUCAUUUUUUUAAAUUUACAUUGUAAGCAGAAUUUUAAAGUUUACUUUAAUACCGUUCAAAGGUUUGCGGUCAGUAAGAUUUUUUGUUUUGUUUUUUGAAUAUAUUUAUUCAGUGAUGAAUUCAAAUAAUCAAAAGUGACAGUAAAGACAUUUAUGUUACAAUAGAAAAUAAAUGUUCUUUUGAACAUUAUACUCAUCAAAGAACCCUGCCAAAAAUGUAUCACAGUUUACACAGUUAUAACAGCUGUUUUCAACAUAAAUGCCAAAUCAGCAUAUUGGAAUAAUUUCUGAGGAAUCAUGUGACUCUGAAGACUGGAGUAAUGAUGCUAAAAAUUAAGCUUUGCCAUCACAUGAAUACAUUUUAAAAUAAAAUAAAAAACAGAUAUUAUAAAUUGUAAUAAUAUUUCACAAUGGAGCUGUUUUUACUGUAUUUUUGCUCAAAUAAAUAAGCCAUGGUGAGCAAAAGUUGUCUUUCAAAACAUCAAAAAUCUUAUCAACCUCAAACUUUUGAAACAUGAAUGUCUUGCAAACCACUCAAGAGGAAAGGUCAGCAUUUUUGUUCAUCUUUAAAUAUUUAAAAUGUUUUGUAACAAAACUGUUUUCACAUGCUUCGAAUAUUAUAAAUAUCCACAAUUUGUGUAAAGUCUGUUGACCAAAACUUUAUCUCUUACAAUUUUUUCAAAGUGUUUCGUAUUUCAUAAUUAUUUUACUGUUUAAUUUUAGCAAUGACAGGUUCUGUAGUGACAGGGAGCAAUGUGUGUCAGUGAACUGUUCCCUGUUUUUCCUGGAUAUGUGCCUAUACAAUAACUGAGAAAUAUUCACUGGAGUAAAGAGUGUUACAACUAGCCCUAAUCUCCACAAAAGUACUCCUCAUACACUUCUAGCUUCAUUUUGCAAGUCUCACCCUAUUAGUUCCGUCUCUCACGCAUCUUUGUUCUAGUUUGAUGAACACACUGAAGAAACUUCUCCUGCAGCCGGCUGUUGUCUCCCACCUCUCAGGGGCUCCAGGCCAAUGUUUUAUUCUUAGUCUUAAAAUGGUUUCGCUUCAUUGUUUUUAAAAACUUCUUUUGUGAUCUCUAUAGAUCCCCCAGAUCUGCAAGACAGAGACCAUAGGAGUGCAAAUGAUACUAAUGUUGCCCACAACAUUGUUAGCGAUUCACUUGACUUCAUGCACACCAUGGAUGGCCUGAGGGCCACUGACAACUUGCUGAUAUUUGGAACCAGAACAGCAGGUGUGGGGAGAAGUAAUGACAAGACUCCAUUUUACUGGCUGUCACAUCCCAGCAUGCUCGCCGCUGUCCAGUCGAGUGCACCGACUGAAAGAUGACAAGCUGACAGCUCACCACACAGGAUACCAGGCGUCUAAUGACAUUCUGCGAGUCCUCUGUGAUCGUUCGUCUGGGGGAAUGUUGCCACAUCAACACAAAUCGAACAAUGCACUGAAAUAUAAUGGCGCUGGACGCUACCAGUUUCCAAGGCAACAAUUGUGACAGAUUUGGGGGAGACAAGACAGGUAAUUGGAAAAAGAUUGAUGGGGUACAAGAGAGUGGAAAAAAACCCUAUCAAAGGAGGUCUCUCAGGGAAUAACAACAAUACAAUAAAAGGUCUUGCAUCCUUUCGAGCCAUCGACGGCCUCCUGUCCAUCUAUUUUCAGGCCCAGUUCAAUGGCUUCAACACAUCUGUCAGUCUUCCAUCAUGUGAGAGUAUACAAAAAGAUUGUAUAUCGCUAAAUGAAGCAGCAUCAAAAAUUAUUCAUCCUCAAGUAAUAUCUCAAAAAUCCCCGUCUGUUUCUUACAGAAUUCCAUCGCUCCCACACUGUAAAAAUCAUCUUUGUCAUUUCCAACUGUAAAUUAUCUUAUUUUACUGUAAAAUACUGUCAAAUAUCUGGUUUUUGAAAGUAAAAAAAUCUGAAUUACCAUUUAAUUUAUAGUGAAAAACAGUAAAAGGACAUUCCCAAAACACCACAUAUGAUUAUAUUUUAUAUAAUCUUCAUUUAAUUUAAUUUAACAAGAUAUUUUUUAACACACUCUAAAAAAUCUUGGGUUAUUUUCUCUACCCAAGUCCUGGGUUGAGCCUUUUGGGUCAAUUUUUUGGGGUUAUUUUUUCAGUGUUUGGGUAGUUUUUGUGUUACCCAGAUCCUGGGUCAGACGUAAUAACCUGGUGUUUGGGUAGUUUUUGUGUUACUCAGAUCCUGGGUCAGAUGUAAUAACCCAGUGUUUGGGUAGUUUUUGUUUUACCCAGAUCCUGGGUCAGACGUAACAACCCAGUGUUUAGGUAGUUUUUGUAUUAUUCAGAUCCUGGGUCAGACGUAACAACCCAGUGUUUGGGUAGUUUUUGUGUUAUCCACAUCCUGGGUCAGAUGUAAUACCCAGCGUUUGGGUAGUUUUUGUGUUACCCAGAUACUGGAUCAAUCGUAACAACCCAGUGUUUGGGUAAUUUUUGUGUUACCCAGAUCCUGGGUCAGACGUAACAACCCAGUGUUUGGGUAAUUUUUGUGUUACCCAGAUCCUGGGUCAGACGUAACAACCCAGCGUUUGGGUAAUUUUUGUGUUACCCAGAUCCUGGGUCAGACGUGUUUGGGUAGUUUUUGUGUUACCCAGAUCCUGGGUCACUCGUAACAACCCAGUGUUUGGGUAGUUUUUGUGUUACCCAGAUCCUGGGUCAGAGGUAACAACCCAGUGUUUGGGUAAUUUUUGUGUUACCCAGAUCCUGGGUUAGACAUAACAACCCAGUGUUUGGGUAGUUUUUGUUUUACCCAGAUCCUGUGUCAGACGUGUUUGGGUAGUUUUUGUGUUACCCAGAUCCUGGGUCAGAGGUAACAACCCAGUGUUUGGGUCAUUUUUGUGUUACCCAGAUACUGGGUCAGACAUAACAACCCAGUGUUUGGGUAGUUUUUGUGUUACCCAGAUCCUGGGUUAGACAUAAUAACCCAGUGUUUGGGUAGUUUUUGUUUUACCCAGAUCCUGUGUCAGACGUGUUUGGGUAGUUUUUGUGUUACCCAGAUCCUGGGUCAGAGGUAACAACCCAGUGUUUGGGUCAUUUUUGUGUUACCCAGAUCCUGGGUCAGACGUAACAACCCAGGGGUUGAGUUAUUUAUCACAGGCUUUUUGUGACCUCUUCAGGAGAGAGCAGUGCAGCUCCGUCAAAUUUGUGCAUGUCUUCGGUAAAAUACAGGUUUGUGUAUGUAUUAUUUUAUCUAAAAAUUUGUUAUUGUUCUGUAUAUCAUUUAAUUUUAUGCAAAGCAACAUAGAGGGGUGCGAAGUGACUCACCUAAAUGAGUGUCGAGUCGGUCUUUUCACAUGAUGGAAAAUAUAAAAGUUCAUAAAAGUUUAUGAUUUUAUUAAAAAAGAUACAGAAUAUAAAUACUUAGGAUGGAUGUUAAAAUAUGUUAUCAGAAUUGUACACUGAUUAUUUAUGGACAGGUUAUGGAGUCAGUAAUUUUUCAGCUAUGAGUGUAACGCAGCGUGGCGGUCUGAAGUCUCCGGCACAAGAUCCAGCGCCGUUACGGUGGAAACAGGACAACAGAGACUGGUCGAUUACACUUGAAUUACUUCUAAAUGUUUAAUUUUUACUUCUAAUAUUUGUUACAUGAGCUUAAAUGUAGGCAAUAUGUAUGAAAAACGAUAUAAAAUAUGCUAAACUAUAAAAAUUGGGUUGUUUUUAACCAAGUGUUUUUUAGAGACUUUUUCAUUCAUUUUACACCGAUGCUUCCUCUAGGCUCUGUUUGGACUUGGCAAACUCAAGUGGGGUGUUGCUCAGCCUGACACAGUGUCUAAGAAUGCAAAGAAGCCUGUAGGGUUAAUGGUUGAGACUGCGUCACCGACGUUUUGCGUCAGUCAUUUUCAGUAUAACCAAACCAAACAAGCAAAGUGUAUGUAUGUAUCGGAAGGUUUUUAUGGUCUUCCUCUCUUCAUACGAAAUGAUGUCAGCAGGAUCGGGGCAGGCUGCGGCUCUUUGCCGUGUGGCGGUUGGAGAGGGAAACAAUGGUGGUGUUGAUAGAAAACCCAGCUCCACCUGUAGGGCCUGAUUUUUAUCUCCGCUGCAGUACGGCGGCCCCCUCCCCCAGGCCCUUCUUGUCAUCGCUCUUUGCAGCAUUCAUUAAAUGGAGUCAGACUUUAGCAGGAGAGAAGAGCCCAAGUCACCCAUGUGAGAAAAAAGAGAAUUACCUAAGCCUUUUGUCUCACAGAGUGUGGCUCAGCUAAUGUCUUGAAGGCAUGCUGAUCUCUUCACAAAGAGUUGUCCUCACACAAUAGAGAAGACAGCAUGUAGUUUGGCAUGCAAAACUUAUAAAGCCCAGCCUCUUUGUUGCCUGUGGUGAGAGGUUUUCAGUCUCAUUUGGUCUGUUUGAUUGGGCUGAUAAGAUGUCUGUCAGGGUCAGGUCAGACUGAGCAUUUGUUGUGCUGACAGUGUGAUGAUUGAGACAUUGGUGUCAAUUAGGUGUUUGCGUAUUGGGCCCGGCAUAACUGCUAUUACUUUAGCAUGGUGGCUUCCUCCCACAAGUGUGCCAGCAUCACCUCCUUUAUGCCUCUUUGUCUGUGUAUUCCCUCACUCGGCCUCACAGGAGCUAAAUUUAUGACCUGGUCCGUCCUCGUCCACUCAACCCCCCGUCAUCAGCCGGUUCUUCUGUGUUCACACCAGAAGUGACAGAAGCUCUUAGCCCCUCUUCACACAUCCUCACCCUUUUUCCUCCUCUGUGCCGUGCCCUCUCUCUCCCUCAUUCACCUUCUUCCUCCCCCAGUCCUUACUCUUUGUUGUGGCCUAAAGCUAUUUAAGGGUGCAGGAUGGAGCUGGUCUCAUGAGAGGGUCCUGGACAAAUAGUAGGAGUGUUUACUGUGGAGGCACUGAUAUGUCCUUUGGGGCUGAGCUGAGCUGAGCAUGCAGCUGCAGGAAAAAGCAGGGUUGAAGGCCUUUGUGUUGUCCCCUUUCACCUGUCCACAGGAAUCCUCCAGUCAGGGGUGUGUACGGCACUUGAGUAUACUACCGAAGAACAAUUACUCAAGUAUUAUUUUGGGGAAUUUGUACUUUACUCAAGGGCUGUUGAACUAAAUACUGUCUAAGGAAACAAUAGGGCUUUUCACACCAGCUAAUCCUGGGUCAUUCUUAACCACGGGUUAUCUUGAUUACGUUUCACAUUGCUCAUAAUUUAGCCGGGGUUAAAGGGUUAGUUCACCCAAA